GUAUUAACCAUCCCUAGCCCCAAAUAUUGGAAGGUGGAAAACCAGGCCAAACGUGUAUGACUGAGUGAGCAUGGCCUCAACCAAUGAAAGUCUGCCCCUGAAAAAUUAUCUCUCAGAUGAACACAGAAUGGAUAUGUCUGGAGAUUGACUGACUCUUAAGGACUAAGCACAGAGACGUUAACCGGCAUUCAGAUUUGUGGUUCGCUGGUUUCCUGAGAGCGGAUCCUGGUGCACAGAAAGGCUUCUUCUCACUGCCAUCCUUCAGCAGGGCUUUUGCUUUGGCUCAAAGAAACUGCUUACAGAGAAAGGGAGAGGAAAGCAUAUGCAGAUUUCUUCAGGCGGAUCGUGUUCAUAAGGAUAAAGCACCACGCUGUGGGUUGGUCCCAGCUCUCAAUUCUUUCCAGGAAAAAGAGGCACAGGCCACUCGUUUGUUUCUUCCGUGUGCUCUUUUAAUCUGCGUACCUGACGGUCCGCUUGGGGUUUAUUCCGCGUGCCAGGGGCACCGAAAUAGUAACGCAGUUGCAAGAGAGCAGCAGUGAGAGACUGCGCUGUGACUCGGGCUGGGGUUUAAACCGUACAUUGUCAGUGUCUUCAUUCUGAAAAUUGAAAUACCUCCUCUCUGUCUAAAAGGACUACUGUGAGAUAACACAUGUAAAAUAAUUUUAUAAAAUAAAGCAUGAUAGAAAUACGAAUUAUUAUUCAUAAUCAAUAUUGUUAAUAACAACGUCGUAUGGAUUCAGGUCUCAGUGUUUUGAAAAUUUCUUUCCCGAGAGAUAAGCAUUUCUGCAUUGGCUGCCUAUACAUUUAAUCCACCAGUUAGGAGUCUCUUCCAGCUAGCUGGUCCUCCUGUUGAACUGCAGAGUCUCUUAGGCCUCCAUUCACAGACAAGACUGUCCCUCUGGUUAGCCACACCCGGGGUUUAGAAUUAAUGCCGCAUUCAUCCUGGCUUCCACCUGCAGUCACAUUUAGGUAAAAAGGGAAAUUGUGACAUGUAUAUAUGUCACAGU
rnacentral:lncRNA from 1 species